GCACUCGAGUACAUUGGUCGAGUA
rnacentral:siRNA from 1 species